AUGCUCAAAAAGCCCUUCAAAAGGAAGUUGAGGAGUGCUAAAAUCCUUACAUCUUCCUCUGUAUGUCAUGCUGAUGAAAUCAACCAAAAUGUUGAUAAAGUUAUGAGGAAACAGCUAGGAACAAGAUUUGAGUUUGUUACUACAUCUCCUGAAGUUGUUCAACUAGCUCAAGAGUUUACUUCUGGAGUUGAGCACCUUGCUCCAGGAGGUUCUUAA